UACGUAGGGGCCUAGCGUUGUCCGGAUUUAUUGGGCGUAAAGAGCUCGUAGGCGGUUUGGUGAGUCGGGUGUGAAAUCUCCACGCUCAACGUGGAGGGGCCACCCGAUACUGCCAUGACUAGAGUCCGGUAGGGGAGUGUGGAAUUCCCGGUGUAGCGGUGAAAUUCGUAGAUAUUCGCAAGAACACCAGUGGCGAAGGCGGCUCACUGGCCCGGUACUGACGCUGAGGUGCGAAAGCGUGGGGAGCAAACAGG
rnacentral:rRNA from 1 species